rnacentral:snRNA from 1 species
GGAUGUGAGGGCGAUCUGGCUGCGACAUCUGUCACCCCAUUGAUCGCCAGGGUUGAUUCGGCUGAUCUGGCUGGCUAGGCGGGUGUCCCCUUCCUCCCUCACCGCUCCAUGUGCUUCCCUCCCGAAGCUGCGCGCUCGGUCGAAGAGGACGGCCUUCCCCGAAUAGAGACGGACCGGUCUUCCGUCGAGGGUAUACGAGUAGCUGCGCUCCCCUGCUAGAACCUCCAAACAAGCUCUCAAGGUCCAAAAAAGCAUGUUGACUAAUCAUGAACCUAAAGGCAAGAAUAUUGUGGGUGGAGAUUUGGGGUCUUCAUUUUGGAA